UUAAUCUUCAUUUUUUUUAAUAAUAUGUAGUACAAUCUGUAUUUUAAAGCUUUCUUGGAGAAUACUUAUAAUGUCAUCGAAAGGAAUUUUUGAAGCUGAUGGAAAACGUUUACUUUCAUGCCAUUUACAAUGUGAAUCGUUUGUUAGACCUCAAUUUUUAUCAAUUCACGCUGAUGAAGAUUUAUCUAAAAUUGAAGAUGCAAACCCAUGGUUAUUAGAAAAGAAACUUGUUGUAAAACCUGAUCAACUUAU
rnacentral:lncRNA from 1 species